rnacentral:rRNA from 1 species
GGCGAGUGAAGCGGCAACAGCUCAAAUUUGAAAUCUGGCCCUUGUGGUCCGAGUUGUAAUUUGUAGAGGAUGCUUUUGGUGAGGUACCUUCCGAGUUCCCUGGAACGGGACGCCAUAGAGGGUGAGAGCCCCGUCUGGUUGGAUACCGAUCCUCUGUAAAGCUCCUUCGACGAGUCGAGUAGUUUGGGAAUGCUGCUCUAAAUGGGAGGUAUAUGUCUUCUAAAGCUAAAUAUUGGCCAGAGACCGAUAGCGCACAAGUAGAGUGAUCGAAAGAUGAAAAGCACUUUGAAAAGAGGGUUAAAUAGUACGUGAAAUUGUUGAAAGGGAAGCGCUUGUGACCAGACUUGGGCUUGGUUAAUCAUCCAGGGUUCUCCCUGGUGCACUUGGCCAGCCCAGGCCAGCAUCAGUUUGUCGCGGGGGAUAAAGGCGUUGGGAAUGUGGCUCCCUCGGGAGUGUUAUAGCCCUUCGUGUAAUACCCUGCUUUAGACUGAGGUUCGCGCAUCUGCAAGGAUGCUGGCGUAAUGGUCAUCAGCGACCCGUCUUGAAACACGGACCAAGGAGUCGUCUUCGUAUGCGAGUGUUCGGGUGUCAAACCCCUACGCGUAAUGAAAGUGAACGCAGGUGAGAGCUUCGGCGCAUCAUCGACCGAUCCUGAUGUUCUCGGAUGGAUUUGAGUAAGAGCAUACGGGGCCGGACCCGAAAGAAGGUGAACUAUGCCUGUGUAGGGUGAAGCCAGAGGAAACUCUGGUGGAGGCUCGCAGCGGUUCUGACGUGCAAAUCGAUCGUCAAACAUGGGCA